UACGGAGGGUGCAAACGUUGCUCGGAAUCAUUGGGCGUAAAGCGCACGUAGGCGGUCCGGUAAGUCGGGUGUGAAAGCCCUCGGCUCAACUGAGGAAGUGCAUUCGAAACUACCGGACUUGAGUAUGGAAGAGGGUCGCGGAAUUCCCGGUGUAGAGGUGAAAUUCGUAGAUAUCGGGAGGAACACCAGUGGCGAAGGCGGCGACCUGGUCCGAUACUGACGCUGAGGCGCGAAAGCGUGGGGAGCAAACAGG
rnacentral:rRNA from 1 species